CCACUUUCAUAUUUUGAAGGUUAUAAAAUAUUUAAAAGGGUAAACUUCAAAUAUCAUUCACGUGGUUUCGCACUUUCUCACUUUAGUAUCCUGUGAUUUAAAGUGUAUAAAUUUAGUGCCCUGUGAUUUCAUUUUUCUCUUUUCAUCAGCAUCUCUGUUAAUAUUUCAUUAAAUUAAAUACAAAAAACUUCAGAUACUCCACCUAGGUUUAUUGAAUAUUCAUUUUAGUUCCUUUUAGUUUUAACUUUGUCACAAAUUAUAGAAAAAAAAAAUUAGUGGAAUUGAUAAUAAAAAGAAAAAAAUAAAAUAACAGGAUACUAAUUUGAUACACUUUAAACCACAUGGUACUAAAAUAGGAAAGAGCGAAACCACAGGGGUGGUAUUUUAACAGGGACGGUUUGUUUUUGUGCAUCUCGGAGGUUGAACUCGUGACUUCGAAUGAAAUACAUGCAUCAGCAUUUGUUUCGACACCGAAGUCGUGAGAUCAUUUAAAUUUUCACUCACAAUUGUAUACGGAUCGCCUUUUCCACUUCGGUGGGAUGGGGGGCGAAGUCGAGUUCGCAUAACUCACG
rnacentral:lncRNA from 1 species